UUAUCGCUUCCGCGGUAGCAAGCAAUGCAUAACCUAAACUUUAGCGGCAAUUUAUCAGCCUGAUGAGCUCUGUUUUCUGUGCGAAGGACUGCAUGCAAAAGAUCAAUAACAGUACACCGUUCUGGAUAAAAUAAUGGCAAUGUGCAGGAGCACAAUGCCGAUUUAAUGAUUAACACAAAAAUAUCAAAUUACAAAUAAAUGUUACAAAUUUAGUAUUCAUGCAUAGCACAGAAAAGGUGGGGUGUUAAAAAACGCCCCAUAUACAAAAACCGCCAGUAACGUGUAUCGUAGGAUGCAAAAUGAGGCAAGGGAGGACGGGAGGGAAAGGAAAACUUGUGAGGACUUGAAAACUUGCCUUGUGAAGCCAAAGGUGAAUGACCUUGAGCUGUUAACCCUCAACGUUUUUAUAUAGUAGGCCCAAGAUGCACGUGAAGCGUGACAUGGAAAUUCACUGAUGUGUUGCAAAAUUCCACGGGAAAUAAAACUGGUUGAACGAGUUUCCCUGCCAGGUUCCCUCCAUAACCCCAUUCCGCGUGCUACCCCGAAUCCCUAAAUAUCCCAACAAAAUUCCCACGGAAGCAAUAAAUUGAUUAUUCGCUGAAGCAAAUAACUCCUUUAUGAG